AUGAGCCCCGAGGAGGAAGCAGCAUGGCCGAGCACGCCAGCGCCUGCCUCACCCAUGGGGAUGCCAUUCUCUUCCCGGGCUUGCAGCACCAUGGGCAAAGUUGCUGGCUGCUCCUUGCCUGCCAGGGCAGAGCCAAGCUGCGCUUCCCUCCUGGGAGAAGCUGCUGCUCUUGCUGCAGAAGUGACCCUGCUUCUCCUUGCUCUCACUCAGGUGGUGGCAGGGAGCCCUUUUGCAGGCAGCGAACUCCAAGCCGCUGCCUUGCUCCUCAUGCUGAGCCUCCACGGCAAAAUCCACAGAGCUGUGGGGGCCAUGUGGGCCACUGAGAUCCCCCUGCUGCUGCAGUGCCUCAAAGGUAAAGUGCUGGUGGGGAGGGAGGGGCGGAGGCAGGGAAGGGGGGGGAGUGAAAAUGGAGCUCUGCAGCGUGGCAGAGGGGAAGCAUUGCCUGCAGCCCAGCACUUGCUCUGCUGCUGUUCCCAUUCCAGGGAGACAGCACUGAGGCCCGGGGAGCUUUCCCCCCUGGGGAUCUGCCCAUUCCAGGGCACAGAUGGGCCCUCCACGUCUCCUCAGAUAGCAGUCUUGGAGCAGUUCUGUGUUCCUGCAGGGACAGUGUUUGUGGGGAGGGACAGGUCAUUGCGUAGGGUGUGCAGGUCCCAGUUUGGCAGUGCCGAGUGCCCAGGCAAACCAGGUUUGCAGCAGCUCUUCCUUUGUGGCUUGAUCCCAAGCAAGGGGGGGUCUUUUGCUUCUUGUUGCUGUGCAGGGAAAGAUGAGAGCUUCCCGGACUCUGCAGAGUGGGAGCAGCGCCUCCUAAAGGUACAGCAUUGCCGGAAGGCACGGUGCGAGAAGUGUCUGCCUGUCUCAAGGAGCCCCGUUCCCAUACAGGACAGGAACAGCCUCUCAAAUGCUGCUGUGGAGCGGCCGCACGCCUCUGUGGUGCUGCCUCUUCCUCUUUGUCCCAAGCCCAAGGGGGGUCCUAGGAGAAGAGCAGCAGGCGGCUAUAAGGGAGGGAAUGCUGGGCAGGAGCUGGGAGAGGGACUGCUCUUCCAGUCACCUCUCCCCAGAAGACUGCGGCGAUGUGGGAAUGUGGGAAGAGGCAAAGGGCAAGGAAACAUUGGCUUCUCCUGUUCUCCAACAGUUCCUGAGGGCGUCAUUGGAUACCAUGGAGGAUGAGGCCUGGACCAAGGGCCUGAGCUGCGAGCUGAGCCGGUGGCUGAGCAGCUCUCCCAGCAGCUCUGGAGAAAAGGUGGGUUCCCCCGGCUCUACCCAGCGGUGCAGCCCAGGUGCCCAACUGGCGCAGGGGCUGCGGGUGGUGCUCUGCUCACACGGGCCGCUCACGCUGCUUCCCUGGCCCGUGCCCCCCAGAGGGCCUUUCCCUGCAAACUGCCUGGGGGUGGCUAAAGCUCGGCCCUGCAGCUGCUCUCAGCGUCUCCCAGGGAGCGUGGGUCCUUCCCACCUGGCCCUCUCCCAGCAGGUCAGGCUGCUGCCACAUCUCAGCUUCUUCCUUCCCUUCCCAUCCCUUCUCUUCCCUUCCCAUGCAGUCCUUCCUGUACAAGGCUCUGGGGACAGUGCUGGGAGCUUGUAAGGAAGUCCUCCACAUCCAAGAGAAGCUCCUGCAACACCUGGAGGAAGCAAAUGCAGAGGAG
rnacentral:lncRNA from 7 species